rnacentral:sRNA from 1 species
GCCGGGUGUGGUGGUGUGUGCCUGUAAUCUCAGCUACAUGGGAGGCUGAGAAAGGAGGAUCUCUUGAGCCUGGAAGUUUGAGACCAGCCUGGGCGACAGAUUGAGACCUCAUCUCAA